rnacentral:rRNA from 1 species
GUGUCAGCAGCCGCGGUAAGACGUAGGGUGCAAGCGUUGUCCGGAUUUACUGGGCGUAAAGAGCGCGUAGGCGGUCUGUUAAGUGAGAAGUGAAAUCUCUAGGGCUCAACCCAGAAACUGCUUUUCAUACUGGCAGACUUGAGGAAUGCAGAGGUCAGUGGAAUUCCUGGUGUAGCGGUGAAAUGCGUUGAUAUCAGGAGGAACACCCAUGGCGAAGGCAGCUGACUGGGCAUUAUCUGACGCUGAGGCGCGAAAGCGUGGGUAGCAAACAGGAUUAGAUACCCCAGUAGUCC